rnacentral:lncRNA from 10 species
CAGAGGACAGACACAUACAUGAGUCACCACAGCCCAAGGCAGCAUGGCCAUGGCAGAGAAAGAGCCCCACUUGUUCUUCAAGAAUGGCCAUUGGUGGCAAGCAGCUAAGAAGUGCUUUGGAAGAGGACACACGUCAAGUUUUCCUUCUGUCAGUUAAAGUGUCCUGUAAGGGUCCUCACUUCUCCCCAUCAGGUCCCAUUACUGUCAGAAACCACUGAGUGAUGUUACUACUAAAAAACCUCAUUGCGGACCUCAAGGCAGACAUUGCUUCCUGUCAGAGCCUAGCUGCUUUCUGUAGGAUUUCACACUAAGUCUUGACAGAGUCCUUAGGGACUGUCCUUUCCAUGCUGCAAAUUCCAAAAUGGCGCCUCAUCAAUAACACUCUUUACUGCCAUGUCCUGGAAAAUGGUUGUUAUAACUAUACAAACCUAUAACCACCAUGGGGUAGAUGGGACUCCUGGAGAUGAGCUACGCUUAGUCUGCCCAACCAGAAGCACACAAUCCUGAGGUCCGCCUGAAUCUCCUUCUGGUGGGACAGGAAUGGUGGUCUCUGGUUGCACCAUCAAAAGGAAACUAUAUUCCCCAUAACUCCACAACACAACCAACAUGUGCUGUAAUCCAUCAGAUAACCCACUCUCUGCGAUCUGAUUCGCCUUGCAGCGCAAGAUGUUGACUUCAAACCCAUUUAGCCUGUGGUGUUUCUCCUGACAGCCUUGACCUCUUGUCAGAUUCAAAAUCCCUAAUGGGCAGUUACUCUGCCCUUGUCAGGGAAUGAAUGAAGGGCUUGAAGAAUGAAUGUCAGUAUGAGUAGGAGUGAUGGAGGGAGAGCUUAGGUAGGAGAGCGUGAGUCCGUGUGCAGGAGUCAAUAAGCAGUGGCCCAGACACACCAGGUUUAAAACUCCACAAACAUUUCAGCUUCAUUUCCUGGCAUGUUUGCUUCUGUCCUAGUUCUUUUGUUACUUCCAGCUUAGC